rfam:Lactobacillus animalis strain 381-IL-28 NODE_9_length_83034_cov_25.414360, whole genome shotgun sequence.
UUAAAGACGUUGAUGAGAAGAGUAGUCUGUUGGAGUAGAUAGACAGAGACCCUCGGUUGCUGAAAAGGGGGAUCGAAAGAAGAGAUGAAGAUGAGCUCGGAGUCUGAUCGUUGGUGCAAGCUUGCGGUCCGUUUUAAUGCGAUAUAAUUUGAGACUACUGAUUUAGAGUUAGUAGUUGAUGAGUCUACUUUUGUGAAGAAGUAGAAAAAUAAGGUGGUACCGCGAGUUUUCGUCCUUUUA